rnacentral:rRNA from 1 species
GACGAACGCUGGCGGCGUGCUUAACACAUGCAAGUCGAACGGAAAGGCCCUGCUUUUGUGGGGUGCUCGAGUGGCGAACGGGUGAGUAACACGUGAGUAACCUGCCCUUGACUUUGGGAUAACUUCAGGAAACUGGGGCUAAUACCGGAUAGGAGCUCCUGCUGCAUGGUGGGGGUUGGAAAGUUUCGGCGGUUGGGGAUGGACUCGCGGCUUAUCAGCUUGUUGGUGGGGUAGUGGCUUACCAAGGCUUUGACGGGUAGCCGGCCUGAGAGGGUGACCGGCUACAUUGGGACUGAGAUACGGCCCAGACUCCUACGGGAGGCAGCAGUGGGGAAUAUUGCACAAUGGGCGGAAGCCUGAUGCAGCAACGCCGCGUGCGGGAUGAAGGCCUUCGGGUUGUAAACCGCUUUCGCCUGUGACGAAGCGUGAGUGACGGUAAUGGGUAAAGAAGCACCGGCUAACUACGUG